rnacentral:lncRNA from 1 species
GUGGGGCAGAGCCAUGGAGUGCAGCUAUGGGGCAGCGCUAUUGGGCAGGGUCCCACUUGUGGGGCAGGGCUUCACUUAUGGGUCAGAGCUUCACGUACUUAUGGGGCAGCGCCCCACUUAUGGGUCACAGUCCCACUUAUGGGUCAGUCUGUGUGGGUUAAUGCCCUACUUAUGGGGCAGAGCCCCACUUAUGGGUCAGAUCCCACUUAUGGGUCAGUUUGUAUGGGGUGGCGCUGUGGGGCAGAGCCAUGGAGGGUCGCUAUGGGGCAGAGCCCCACUUAUGGGGCAGUCUGUGUGGGUUAAUGCCCUACUUAUGGGGCAGAGCCCCACUUGUGGGUCAGAGCCACUUAUGGGGCAGAGCCCCACUUAUGGGUCAGUCUGUGUGGGUCACAGCCCCACUUAUGGGUCAGAUCCCACUUAUGGGUCAAAGCCCCACUUAUGGGUCAGUCUGUGUGGGUCAGAGCCUCACUUAUGGGGCAGAGCCUUACUUAUGGGGCAGAGCCCCACUUAUGGGUCAGUCUGUGUGGGUCACAGCCCCACUUAUGGGUCAGAGCCCCACUUAUGGGUCCCGGCCCUACUUAUGGGGCAGAGCCUUACUUAUGGGUCAGUCUGUGUGGGUCACAGCCCCACUUAUGGGUCACAGCCCCACUUAUGGAUCACAGCCCUACU